CCUGCCUUUGGAAAAACCAGUUUCUCUUUUAUUGUCUGUCUGUGGGGAAGCUCUAUUCGGCACUCCACCCCCUCUCCCUCCCGGCUUCCCUUCCCUUAGCCCCCUGGCCUCCACUUUCUCCUACUUUCCCAUUGUCUUUACUAGAAGGACCACGUGUCCCUUUCUCCAGGACCAACUUCUGCUCUGCCCAGGCUGCUGAGCUGGGUACCCAGUAGAACAGGCUCUUCUUUCUUCUUCCGGUCCUCAAUUCUUGAGGGCAAAAAGACUUUCCCAAAACUUAAAAUUCUUUUUUUUUUUAAACCCAGGAUUCUUCAACAAUCUUUCAGCUUGGCACUCUCUUAAGACAGAAAACGAUGCACUGUUUUGCAUCAAAGGCAAAAGCUGAGCCCGAUGUCGGAAGGUAUAGGUGUUACUCCUGUGUACUUACAGAACGGAGCUGUGAAAUCCAAACAGAAGCCAAGACUCCUUCCAUUCCAUUCCAGAGCACCUCCCACAGUCUCCUGCCUUCCUUGGCCAAAGCCGGAAAACUGGUGUCUUUCUCCCUUUCACUAGGAAGUGGGUCAAAGGUGGUGUGGGGCCUAAGUGGUCUAGAUAACUCACAGGCAGAGCACACUUCUUAAGCAGUAAGUGUUCACUAGAAGGCUGAGCAGGAGAAGAUUCACUGAACCUCUUGCCCUCAGCACACAGCGCCCUGCCUUCCAGUGAGCCCUGUGCACACUCUGAGGAGGAUGAUCUAGUUUGGGCCUAGGGAAAGUCAGAGUCUUCCCUAACCAUAGCUGGUAACCACUGCUUUUGUGUAAGAGGCUUUCUCAGAGGCCUGAUGCCCCGGGGGCUGGAUGAGGGAGGAGGAGCCCCUCAGUCAGGUCUGAACAAGCCCAGGAAGAAGCAAAGUAUUCCAAACAAGGCAGAUCAGCCCUCCCCACCCAGUCUGCAUGUCUCUACUUAGAGCAGCCUUUUAUGAGGGUUACGCUGAGCUGCGGACAAGUCUGAACACAGCAAAGACUGAGGCCAGCACAGUCCCUGCAAAGUUGUUCCUGCCUCGGGGCAGGGACAGAAAGUCCGCGGGUAUUACAUGGCCUCCUGAGGUAGCUCCUUCCUCUGACCCCUACCCUAGGCUCCCUGGAAAAGCCCGUUCACUGAUUCUGUACAGAUCUGGGGGAAAGGUGUAUGGCCAUCAGAGGCUGACUUUCCCAGACAAGUCUAUGGGAAGAGGACCAAGAAUUCUUUCCACCACCCACCCCACCCCCAAUAAAUGGGCCUGCUCCAGCAGAGUCCUCGUCCUUCCUCGGCCUGUCUUGAUUUCAUACGGGUGCACAGGCCUGAACCGGGCCGUUCAUGCCCUUGCACAGCAGCUUCUCAGAAGAAUGCCUGUGCCCCUGCCUUUAGCCCCUUGGUAAGCAAUGGCAGAGAGCACCUGCCUUCUCUAGACAUCACCAGACACACCCGGCUCUGGUAUGGCCCAUGCAUCGAAAAGGACAACCAGCAUCCUGACUAGGUAUACACCGAGGGUGUUCCUGCAGCACUGGCUGUACCAUCCACCAGGGUCUAGCUCUGGGGUGGGAACAAGGAUGCUUUCGUGGGUGUUUGAACAUUCAGGUUCUCACCAUCCUCUUAAGAGUGUGGUUGCAGGAGCCUGGUCUCAUCCAGGUCACACACAGCACAGCAAGAGGAGGCCUGGUAGACAGACAGCCCCAGACAAUAUCCAUGGGUCCUCUUGUCCUUCAUUCCACCGGAGUCUGUCUUAUGCCAACCAGAUUUCAGUGGAGUGAAGCUCAGGAGGCAUGGAGCUACCAGCGGCGAACCAAAAAGCAUGGGAAAAACUCCAUCACUAAAGACAUUGGCAGCGUGCACCCUCCUGCAGAGAGAAGGUGGCUGCAGACAAGAAAACACCGCCAAGGAGAGCCGCCAAGGAGAGCUGUGUGGCCUUUCUCCCUAAAAACGGAUGCUGCAGAAAUGUGUAUUCCCUGUCACUUAUAAAAAUUAAAAGUUGCCUGUCA